AGGAUAUGGAAGUAUCAGAGGAGCUGCUUUAGGACCCCAAAUAGGGUAUGCAAAUGGAGCAACUCCCAAUGGGUUUGGAUCCAACCGUGAAGGUUAUGGAGCUUUGAAAGGAUUUGGUCCUCAAAUGAAUGG